rnacentral:rRNA from 1 species
GGUUUUUGGGGAUUAUCAAAAAUCAGACCUGCUCAAUGUCAAGUAAAUAGCCGCGGUAUUAUGACCGUGCAAAGGUAGCAUAAUAAUUAGUCUUUUAAUUGAGGACUGGAAUGAAUGGUUUAACUGAAUACUCUUGUCUUAUAUUUAUAUUUCUAAUUUUAUAUUUUAAUAAAAAAGUUAAAAUAUUCUUAAGGGACGAGAAGACCCUAUCAAGCUUUAUAAUCAAUUAUUUAUAUUUCAAAUUAAAUAAAAAAUUAUUUUACUGGGGCAGUUGGCAAUAAAAAUAUUGCUUUCAUUUUGUGGAAUUAAACUUAGAAAAAACAAAAAAUUUUUAAAGAAAAAUAAGUUACUGUAGGGAUAACAGCAUAAUUUUUUUAAAGAGUUCUUAUCGUCAAAAAAGUUUGUGACCUCGAUGUUGGAUUAAAAUUCCUAAAUUGCGCAGUAGCAAUGAAAAGGAAGUCUGUUCGACUUUUAAAAAUAUUUCCA